ensembl:lncRNA
CUCAAUGUGGCCAGGGUCUACCCACAACUCAAACGUUCAACAAUUGCAUUAUGUAAAUGAAUCAAACCCUGCGUAUUCUUCCGAGUUCAGUCACAAUCUGCCCAACCGAUGUGUUCAACUCGUUCUGGGUUUGCAGGAUUUAGGCGGUCAACACGCGAACAGAGGACAUGGACACAGAUGUGGAUGGACCCUCGAAACCUGUGGUCAAACAUUCCCCUUCACUCCUGGUACCUGCUGAUUUGGGAGCCUCACGCACUUUAUCACACCGAGGUAAAGUUGGUUUUACAUUCACACAUUCAACAGCCAUUCAUCAGACAUUCCAAAACCACAACAGGUAGCGUGGGAGCUGCAGUGAACGAGGGGGGGCAGCAAGACAGAACUGUGGCUGAUGUGAGAAAGAAAUUGUCUGACCUUAAACUGCAAGGGAAAAGAAUGGCCCUACAUAAUCGCAGCAUUAAGGCACCGGGAGGGGGGCACGUCGGAGGUCUCCCAAAUGGUCGAGCGCAUCGGGUCAAUCACUGGGGAAAGCGCAUACACUGGCCCAUGCUCCGACGGCGACAGAGAAUGUUUUAAAAAAUAUAUACAUUUUCUCUUUUGCUUUAUUUUUCAAAUGGUUUAAUCCCAACUUUUACAUCGUAUAGCAGUAACUUCGGAAACGGUUAAAUUGGCUUGCGAAACCACCACGACUGGAUCACGAAACGCUGGAAGCUGCUUUGCAGCCUGUGCGCCCUCCACCCAGAGAUAAAGACCGAGGGACCUGAGCCCUAGGACCAUGCCCCAGGAUUACCUGACAUGAUGACUCCUUGCUGUCCCCAGUCCACCUGGCCGUGCUGCUGCUCCAGUUUCAACUGUUCUGCCUUCUUAUUAUUCGAACAUGCUGAUCAUUUAUGAACAUUUGAACAUCUUGGCCGUGUUCUGUUAUAAUCUCCACCCGGCACAGCCAGAAGAGGACUGGCCACCCCACAUAUGCUCUCUCUAAUUCUCUUUUUUUCUCUCUCUCGGAGGACCUGAGCCCUAGGACCAUGCCCCAGGACUACCUGACAUGAUGACUCCUUGCUGUCCCCAGUCCAUCUGACCGUGCUGCUGCUCCAGUUUCAACUGUUCUGCCUUAUUAUUAUACGACCAUGCUGGUCAUUUAUGAACAUUUUAACAUCUUGGCCAUGUUCUGUUAUAAUCUCCACCCGGCACAGCCAGAAGAGGACUGGCCACCCCACAUAGCCUGGUUCCUCUCUAGGUUUCUUCCUAGCUUUUGGCCUUUCUAGGGAGUUUUUCCUAGCCACCGUGCUUCUACACCUGCAUUGCUUGCUGUUUGGGGUUUUAGGCUGGGUUUCUGUACAGCACUUUGAGAUAUCAGCUGAUGUACGAAGGGCUAUAUAAAUAAAUUUGAUUUGAUGUGAAU